rnacentral:sRNA from 1 species
UGGUAGAGCAGUUGAUUUUUAAUCAAUGGGUCGCAGGUUCGAGCCGAGCGAAGCGAGACAACAGCGCGUGAGCGCUGGCCCGAAGAAUAUAUACCCUAAAGAUUUCAAGAUGCAUCGCGA